rnacentral:rRNA from 1 species
AUACAUGCAAGUCGAGCGAAUGGAUUGAGAGCUUGCUCCUUAUGAAGUUUAGCGGCGGACGGGUGAGUAACACGUGGGUAACCUGCCCAUAAGACUGGGAUAACUCCGGGAAACCGGGGCUAAUACCGGAUAACAUUUUGAACUGCAUGGUUCGAAAUUGAAAGGCGGCUUCGGCUGUCACUUAUGGAUGGACCCGCGUCGCAUUAGCUAGUUGGUGAGGUAACGGCUCACCAAGGCAACGAUGCGUAGCCGACCUGAGAGGGUGAUCGGCCACACUGGGACUGAGACACGGCCCAGACUCCUACGGGAGGCAGCAGUAGGGAAUCUUCCGCAAUGGACGAAAGUCUGACGGAGCAACGCCGCGUGAGUGAUGAAGGCUUUCGGGUCGUAAAACUCUGUUGUUAGGGAAGAACAAGUGCUAGUUGAAUAAGCUGGCACCUUGACGGUACCUAACCAGAAAGCCACGGCUAACUACGUGCCAGCAGCCGCGGUAAUGCGUAGGUGGGCAAGCGUUAUCCGGAAUUAUUGGGCGUAAAGCGCGCGCAGGUGGUUUCUUAAGUCUGAUGUGAAAGCCCACGGCUCAACCGUGGAGGGUCAUUGGAAACUGGGAGACUUGAGUGCAGAAGAGGAAAGU